AGAGAGCGGUAAAUAAUUUGUCAACAAUAACAUUGUUUAUAUCAACGUCUGUCUUUGAGGGUUAAUUGUCAGCUAAUUAUGGCUGAAAUGUGUUUUUGAAAUCGUGUUUCCAGUGGCAGCACUUUGCAUAAACACACAUCCCAGUCAGUCAUCUGUACAGAUUUGUUUAAUAUACACUGCGAUAAUUAAUGCAAUUAACAUGCCAAAAUCAUGAUCAUUUCUUGAAUACAUUUGAAUAUUUUAAAGCAGCAGCCUGUGCUCAUCUUCUGAAUAGGGUUAAAUGUGACUGAACAUUAGGCUGCUUUAGUUUCCAUUAUACGAUAUCACCAUUAAUUUGAGUUUGAAUGACAUAACAAAUUUAAUUUCUCCAUGGAUCACUUAUUAUACAACAAUUCUUUACAUGUAAAUAUUGCACGGAGUUAAUUACUACCUGCACACGCCGAUAUCUGUGUUCUCACAUUGUGGCAGCGGUAAAAAACUUAUGCUAUAGAUCAAAAGAUGUGAGGGCGUCCAUACUGUUAAAAAGAUGACAUACGGAUAAAAGCAACCAACGUAUUCUAACCUUUUCCAUUCCAACAAUUCUAUUUUUUCUUCCCAUCUAUUUCAGUGUUUGUGUUCAGGGGAAAAGGGGAUGGGAAAAUGCUUUUUUUUUUUUUUUAAGUGACAGAGUUGUCUUCAACAUCCUCUGACAUUGAAAUACUCCAUUUGUUUUUUUAUCAACACUCACACAUGAAAAAUUCAGUGGCUCUGUUUAUCUACAAAUGGCUCAAUUUACCCACUUGCUAGGAUCAAUUUACCCUUAACCUGAGGCAAACUUAACCAAAAGACCCUUUUUCACACAGUGUAUUCCAAUUCUUGUUAUUUAGCUGUUUUAUUUUUGAGAAUAGUCAUAAAUAAAAUAUGAGUGAAAGAGUUUGCUUUAGUCAUGUCUUAUUUGUCCUUGCCAGGAAAACAUUUCAAGUAAAGACGUGGUGAUCUUACCCCAUGUUGGCAAACAAAUAAACUAUAUUAUCUUCCUCUAAAUCCCUCAUAUGUUAAAGUGUCUUUAGCCAUGGUGGCGACAUGGCUCCAUGCAUGUUUGUCAGUCCAACACUUGGAUCUGAUACAGUUCAACAACUAUCAUGUGGAUUGCUGUGAAUUUUUGGUACAGAUAUCUACAUUAUGCAGAGUAGGGCUCAAAAUACUGGUUAAAGUUUUGUAACUUUAGCCCUUAUAUUUUAGCUGACUAAUGUUAGCUAGUUUCUAAAUCUAACCUAAAGGUACAAGUUAGCUAACUAAUGUUAGGUCUCAGGAUUUCAGGAGUUUUAUCUUGUUGGGUAAUUGAUGAGUUGAACAAUAUUACAAUAUAUGUGUGUUGAAGGCUAAGUAAUUGUACUAGAAGCGGUGGUAAGUAAUUAAGUACAUUUACUGUAAGUUCUGUACUAAAGUACUGUUACAUCCUGUUUUAUUUUGGUGUUUCCUGUUGAUCAUCUGUUUGCUGAUUGGUGGGCUGAGUCUAUACAGGCAGGUCCUCUUUGUUCAGCUCGCUCUCUCUCCAUCCUGCUGCAGCAGCAUCUUUCUGGUGCUAGGUAUUUGAUGUUCUUGUACUUUACUACAUUUCAGGGGAAACUGUAAGGACAGAAAAACUUCACCUACACUGUACUGGGUUCCCUUUCACCCUGGAGAAAAAGCUGACCCCCCUUAUUGUCAUCAUAUGAUUCGCACUCUUAUCCAGAGAGUAAAUCUUACUGACUCUGGUGAUCCCCUGACUUUUCCUCUUGCACCACCAUGAGGUCGACAUUUAUGGUUUUUGGAUGAACUUUCUCAACAACAGCUGGAUGGAUCGUCAUUAAAUGUCCACCACAGGAGGAAUUGUAUUAACUUUUGUGAUCCCCUGACCUUUCAUCUCGCACCAUCACCGGUUCAAAAUUCACAGUUGUCCAAUACUUUGGUUUAAGACCAAAUAUCUGCAGAGCUGAUGACAUUUCCAUCAGCCUCAGCUGUGCUUUAACAUUUAGCACUGCCACUGUGAGCAUGUUAGUAUGCUGAUGUUAGCAUUUAGCUCAAAGCAGCACUGUGCCUUAGAGCAGCCUCACACAGCUGAUAGUAUGUGCUGUAGACUCCUAAUCUUGUUGUAUUACGAUGAAACAUAAGUACAGUUCAUGAAGACCCUGAUGUCAUUGUAACAAUUGUAUAUGUCACCUUGUUUUAGUAAGGUCAGGAAGCUGCAGUGAGUGAAUAUUUUUAUGUAGUAGUAGUAGUGUAAAAGCAAGGGAUUUAAACAUCUCAGUUCCUGAUAAAGUUACAUGACGAUAAUUCUGUAAAGCAAUUAAACUGAGAAUAAUUUAGUUUAAUAAAGGAAAAAAAUUUUAACAGAGAGGUUAAGAUAAAGAGGUCAUAAGUAAACUAUGAUGUAAAUAGUUAAACAAGUAAUUAAAAUAACCGUUCUAAACAAUAUGGGCAGCAAACUUUGAUGAACUAAAAAGAAGAGAAAACAGAUUGUGUCUUUAGUUUCAGUUACUCUGACUGGUUUUAGUAUAUAUCAGUCUGUGUCACUGGUGGUAAUUGGUCAGAGGUAUGGCAGAGGACGGGAUGCAAAAAUAUUUUAAUAUUAUUAUUAUUAUCAUUAUUAUUAUUUUAAUUAAGUAAUUCAUUCAUUCUCUUAUUUUAUUUUCCCGCAUUAUGGCCUGAUCCACACUCCAGUCCAGUCGGUGGCGGUAGUGCGCCUACAAGGUGGUUUUCCAACCGCCUUUACCACCAAAGAAGAAGAAGACGAACGAGGCGCUGGAGAUACGCGGAGCAGGAGAAAUAAUGACAAAAUACUGGGUUAAAACAGCUGGUGAAAGUGUCUGUAAACACUGUAGCCGGGAGACAGCCAUGGGUUUCGCUUAAUCACGGUUGAUUCGGUUGUACGAGUGUGUCUGUGCUAAGCUGAAGGCGACCGGAGGAAGCCAUCACCGCCGCCAUUGCUAAUCGGGCAGGACUCACGUGCUAUGCUAAACUUUACCAGUUGCAAGGUCGGAAGACACCAUUGCUGAUCGGAACAAUAAACAUUGAGUGUCUAUAAGGACAGAAUACGUCAAAGGUGUAGGUGUGCAUCCGGAGGAGGACUCCAUCUCAGCCUCCAUCCAGCUUCUCUAGCACCUGCACCUGUUUCUAAAGGACUGGCGCCAAAACUGAAUUGCUCAGUUGACGGCGCGGUGAACAUGGGACAACACGUCAUGAAACAUGGCGGCGACAUCGGGAGCUUGUUGAUGAAGGAUUUUAGUCGUUGGACGCCUGGAUCUGAAGUUACGGGAGGAAAAAAAGCUGAGGAAAUGUUCGACAGCUCAGCUCCCAGCCGCUGGAGACGUCCUGUCCUGUGUCCACUGAAGAGCAUCGGUGAUUUUUAAAGUGAAACUUCUUUAUUCGUUUACUGAUUUAAUCCCCUGGUGUGUUUGUUAUAGAGAGGAGGAAACCUCUGUGGAGAAUUCAGCUGCUGGUAAAAACCUGCUGAACGUCUGCUUCAUAAGUUAUCAGAGAAACGAUCAAAACAAAGGUUUAGCAUCAAUCUCAUCUCCAGCUGUUCCCUGACGUGUCUGUCCUCCGUACGGCGUCGCUCAAACUCUGACUUUAAAUGGGGAAACUGGUUUAUUCAGUGUUUUUAACGGUUAGAAUCACCGGGUCUGUUUGAUUUCCUGAACCACUGACACUGUGGUCUUUUGUUAUUGUUUUGAUUGAGAGACUUCCAGAUGCAGAAGUUACAGACGGUGCGUUUAAAUCCAAAAUUGAAACUACUAAGAUACAGUUGUAUUUAUUGUCAAAGAAACACUGAGACGUGUUCAUGUGUGGUCAGCGUCUCAACGAGUCUUUUUUAUCACCCACAUGUUUCUGCUCUGUGGGAAGUAAAUGGAAAACCUGUGGGUUGUUAAUGGUGCAGCCUGCUGUGUGAACGUAGGAUCAAUC